rnacentral:rRNA from 1 species
UGGGGAAUAUUGCACAAUGGGCGGAAGCCUGAUGCAGCAACGCCGCGUGCGGGAUGACGGCCUUCGGGUUGUAAACCGCUUUCAGUAGGGACGAAGCGCAAGUGACGGUACCUACAGAAGAAGCACCGGCUAACUACGUGCCAGCAGCCGCGGUGAUACGUAGGGUGCGAGCGUUGUCAGGAAUUAUUGGGCGUAAAGAGCUUGUAGGCGGUUGGUUGCGUCGUAAGUGAAAACUCAGGGCUUAACCCUGGGCUUGCUUGCGAUACGGGCUGACUUGAGGAAGGUAGGGGAGAAUGGAAUUCCCGGUGGAGCGGUGGAAUGCGCAGAUAUCGGGAGGAACACCAGUGGCGAAGGCGGUUCUCUGGACCUUUCCUGACACUCAGACGCGAAAGCUAGGGUAGCAAACG